rnacentral:lncRNA from 1 species
CUGGAGACCAGGAGGGGUCCUGGGGACGUCCGGUACUGGAGUCCGGUGUUCACAGGCGCCCUGGUGCUGCUGGUGGGGCUUAGGGAUUGGUCCUUGGCCCAGGCCCCUUAGUUUGAUCCCGAUAGGAAACACGGCCACGCCCCCAACCUCACUGGAUGUCACUGAGGGGUCCUUGGCCUCCAUCGCAGGGGCCUGGACAGCGUUGGACUUCUGACACACACACACGCACACACCUGCUUCCGUGAAACACAACCGUGGUAACACAACACAUCUCUAGGUGGCUGGUCCGAUCCAUUUGGAUCCUACAAUACAGAGACCUACUUCCCAGACGUCCUCUUCCUCCAACUUCCCCAACGGCCUUUAUUCUCGAGACUGGAUUUUGAAUUUUCCGCCGCAGGACGGCCGGAGGCGGCCUUGCUGAAGGUCAGGGAUCCCCUCCCCUCGCGCGCUCCCCACCCCGCUGCGCACUCACCUGCUCCGGGGUGCGGGACGCCCGCCGCUGUCCGCGGCCACAGGGGAGUGGUGCCGGGGCCGGCGCCCCGCUGGGCUCCUCUCGGCCCAACCGAGCUGCAGGAGGUGGAGGCGCGAUCGCUCACCGGUGUGCGACGCCAGGGAGAGCAGGUCAUCCGGGCGGCGCACGCCACCCCACCCCCACCUCCGCCCAGCAGUGGUCCGGGGAGGGCGCGGCCUCGGAACGGCUGCCCUGGGCUCUUCCUUGGGGCGGGCGGCAGGAGUUCGCAGGCCAGAGGGUCCGAGGGCUGAGAAUCCCUUCCCGUCCCUUUGUGGUCUCUUUGUGGGGCGGAAGAUGGAGAGCAGGGGGCUGAUUUUGCCUCUGCCAGCUCAGGCUGAGCAUCUAGAAAGCUACUGGUGUGACCCAGAUUCCAGCAGGCUCAGGAACAUCAUGAGGACAAGGAAAGGCCUGCGCCUGGAAAGCCAAAACCCACACUGCCACCCGAAUCGUUCUCAUGCUCGCCCCAUGAACACAUCCGACAGAGGGCCUGAUCAUCUUGCACUCUGCUGCGUUACCACAGACCCCAGGGGGAGUCCAGUGAGACCCAGAGCCCGAUACCCACAGGCGCCGUGAAUCACCACCGCACCUGGAGCUGUGCUAGGAGCUGUAAGUGCAUUUGCUAAAACACUCGCUUCCUUCUCAAAGCCACCUGGCAGGGUGCUGCAAAAGUUGAAUAAAACCACGUGUGACACCUCAAACUUAAGUCCUAAAGGUUAAGUGGGGCAUGCAUCUAGAGUAAGUAACAGAUAUGGGGUUAAAGCCAGGGUUGUCUGACACCAGGGCCAUUCUCUACACUAACCAGCAUCUCUCUGCACAAUUCUUUUUUAAUUUACUUGUAAGAAUUGCACAUAGUUAUGGGGUACAAUGUGAUAAUCUAAUAUGUGCCCACAACGUGUAAUGCUCAAAUCAGGGUAACUAGCAUUUCUAUCUCCUACAUAUUAGUCAUUCCUUUGUGUCAGAGCCUUCACAUCUUCUAGUUCAUGAAAUGUGUAAUACUUAUAAACUCUCAUCACCCUCUGUACUAUGAGACACCAGAACUUAUCCCUGUCAGCUGCAGUUGGUGUCCAUUACCAAUCACCCUCCAUUCUCCUCCACUGCCCUUCCUGCUCGUUAGCAUCCACUGGUCUACUCACUUCUCCUACGACAUCAACAUUUUUGGUUUCUACAGACAAGUGAGAUCGUGCAGCAUCUGGGUCAGGAUACUCUCAAGUCUCUGAUACCUCGGGAGACCACCCUCUCUGGCGACCAAGGGAGCCCCAGCAUCAUUAACAUUCGGGGAGCGCGGGCAUUGGGGGGACCCUGCUGUCACUUCUCUGGGUUGAGAGAUGCUGUCUGCCUUAGGAGCCUGCUUGGGGAGGGCAGUAGGUGUGUCAGGAGCAUGAGGGUAGUGGGGACCAAUGUCCUAGCGAGUGAGGGGGGACAAGGACCAUGUCGUGUUUCCUUUCUGUGCCAACUACGAGGUUUCAUAGGCAAUGUCAACCUACUGGUCAACUGGCUUGCUUUGUUUAUCCAUAGCAGGCACCAUGCAUGCUGCCUGUGCACAGGUGCUCAAUAAAUUUCUACUGAACAACUAUUUUAAGGUCUCUGUGUCACUAUGCCCUGUUUGUACCGGUCGUAGUUUACUAAAUCUGGCCAGAUAAAGUCCAGGUGUG